rnacentral:misc_RNA from 1 species
AACCUAGCACACCUGCGGUGUGUACCUGCGGAAGGAUCAUUACAGAGUUCGUGCCCUCGCGGGUAGAUCUCCCACCCUUGUGUAUUCUCUACAUCUUGUUGCUUUGGCAGGCCGUUGGUUCGCCAACCACCGGCUCGCGGGCUGGUGCGUGCCUGCCAGAGGACCUCUCAAACUCGGUUUGUCAGUGUCGUCUGAGUACCAUAACAAUCGUUAAAACUUUCAGCAAUGGAUCUCAGAUCG